rnacentral:rRNA from 1 species
GACGAACCGUGCGAACGUUGUUCGGAAUCACUGGGCUUAAAGGGCGCGUAGGCGGACCCAACAGUCUGUGGUGAAAGCCUCCAGCUUAACUGGAGAAGUGCCAUGGAUACUGCGGGUCUGGAGGAGGGUAGGGGCAUCUGGAACGCUGGGUGGAGCGGUGAAAUGCGUUGAUAUCCAGCGGAACUCCGGUGGCGAAGGCGAGGUGCUGGACCCUUUCUGACGCUGAUGCGCGAAAGCCAGGGGAGCAAACGGG